GAAGGUUUGGUCCUGGCCUCAAUAUUAGUUUUAACUCGACUUACACAUGCAAGUCUCAGCACUCCGGUGAGAACGCCCUAGUCAUUCCCCCUAAUCUGAUUAGGAGCCGGUAUCAGGCACAUUACCCAGAUAGCCCACGACACCUCGCUCAGCCACACCCACAAGGGAACUCAGCAGUGACAAAUAUUGCUCCAAUAAGCGCAAGCUUGAGCCAAUCAGAGUUAAAAGAGUUGGUCAAUCUCGUGCCAGCCACCGCGGUUACACGAGUAACACAAAUUAAUAUUUACCGGCGUUAAGGGUGAUUAGAAAAAAUCUCAUUUUUAAAUAAAGUUAAGGCCUCAUCAAGCUGUCAUACGCUCCCAUGCUUAAAAACACCAUUCACGAAAGUAACUUUAACACAACAGAAUUUUUGACCUCACGACAGUUAAGACCCAAACUAGGAUUAGAUACCCUACUAUGCUUAACUAUAAACAUUGCUAUUAAUAAAAAUACCUUAAUAUCCGCCUGAGUACUACAAGCGCUAGCUUAAAACCCAAAGGACUUGGCGGUGCUCCACACCCACCUAGAGGAGCCUGUUAUGUAACCGAUAACCCGCGUUUAACCUCACCACUUCUUGCUUUUACCGCCUAUAUACCGCCGUCGUCAGCUCACCCUAUGAAAGUACAACAGUAAGCAAAAUGGCCCUUCCCCAAUACGUCAGGUCGAGGUGUAGCGAAUGAAGUGGAAAGAAAUGGGCUACAUUCUCUUUCCAGAGAACACGAACAGAAACAUGAAAACUUUCUUAAAGGUGGAUUUAGCAGUAAGUAAACUUUAGAACAUUAUACUGAAGCCGGCUCUGGAGCGCGCACACACCGCCCGUCACUCUCCUCGAAACACCAACACUAUCUUUUAUAAAAAAAAAUUACAACAAGAGGAGGCAAGUCGUAACAUGGUAAGUGUACUGGAAAGUGCACUU
rnacentral:ncRNA from 1 species